rnacentral:rRNA from 1 species
UACGGAGGGAGCUAGCGUUGUUCGGAAUUACUGGGCGUAAAGCGUGCGCAGGCGGCUUUGCAAGACAGAUGUGAAAUCCCCGGGCUCAACCUGGGAACUGCAUUUGUGACUGCAUGGCUAGAGUACGGUAGAGGGGGAUGGAAUUCCGCGUGUAGCAGUGAAAUGCGUAGAUAUGCGGAGGAACACCGAUGGCGAAGGCAAUCCCCUGGACCUGUACUGACGCUCAUGCACGAAAGCGUGGGGAGCAAACAGG